UACAUUUUAGUAUACAGGGUAUAAAAGUUUUUGAUACUUUAGGAAGUAGUUUAAUUCUACUAAAUGUAA
rnacentral:tRNA from 1 species